GCCGCAGUCGGGAGGGGGUCGCUGGUGGUCGUCUGUCCUGUCCCUCCCGGUGAGGGAUGCGGGAGGAAAGACGAGACUGGGAAGCAUGAAGCAAAGAGCCGAGCGAGCACAGAAAAGGGCGAGAACAGAGCGGUGUCCUCGGCGUCCGUGCUGCGACCGACGCUCCUGUAAAAGGGACACUUUGAGAUGCGCGUGUUCCUGCGGGCCGGCAUUAGUGCUGUACUAUGAUUUGGUAUGUGGCCGCUCUCAUAGCCAGUGUGCUGAGCGCGCGGGGAGCGGCGGCCCAAGGAGCCCGCAGAGCGAGAGAGGAGCCCCAGUUUGUGACGGCACGUGCCGGUGAGGCCGUCGUUCUAGGAUGUGAAGUGUCCCACCCCCCGACUGGCUCGCAGCUCGCCUACGUGGUGGAAUGGUUCCGGUCUGGUAUGUCCAUGCCAUUCUUCAUCAGCUUCCGUUUCUACCCACCCCACGUGGACCCCGAGUAUGCUGGUAGAGCCAUGCUCCAUGGAGUCGCCUCUUUGAGGAUUGAGCAGCUGCGCUCUGAGGACCAGGGCUGGUAUGAGUGCAGGCUCCUCAUGCUGGAGCAGCAGUAUGAUGCCUUUUACAAUGGCAGCUGGGUGCAUCUCACAGUCACUGCCCCUCCCACUUUCACAGACACGCCCCCUCAAUACGUGGAAGCGAGAGAAGGGGGCAGCAUCACUCUGAGCUGUACUGCAUUGGGGAACCCCAAGCCUGUGGUGAGCUGGCUGCGAGAGGGGGAGACAUUGGGCGACAGUGAGAAAUACAAGGUAAGCGACGGGCGCCUGACGGUUGUGUCUGUCCUCCGGGAGGAUGGGGGGGUCUACAUGUGCCGUGCCCACAGUCCCCAGGGAGAAGUUGUCCACACCACCCGCCUGCUUGUUCAAGGAUCUCCACAUAUUGUGAAACCACCCCUGAACAUAACUGUCAACAUAUCCCAGAAUGCUUUCUUCAGCUGCCAAGCAGAGGCAUAUCCUGGCAACUUAACCUACAUCUGGUUUUGGGAGGAAGAUAAUGUCUACUUCAAGAAUGAUCUAAAGUUGCGAGUCCGAAUUUUAAUUGAUGGAACCCUGAUCAUCUUCCGAGUAAAACCAGAGGAUGCUGGGAAAUACACCUGCAGCCCGAGCAACAGUCUUGGGCUGUCACCCACUGCCUCUGCAUACCUAGUGGUCCAGUAUCCAGCUCGGGUCGUGAACAUGCCUCCUGUUAUGUACAUCCCCAAAAAAAUGACAGGUUACAUCCGCUGCCCUGUGGAUGCCAACCCACCGGUGACAUGGGUCAAGUGGGAGAAGAAUGGCCUUCCUCUGAGGCUGGAGAAGCACCCAGGGUGGAGCCUAAUGAAGGAUGGGAGCAUCCGUGUGACAGAGGUUACAGAAGACUCUCUUGGCACCUAUACCUGUAUGCCUUACAACCUCAUGGGAACCUCUGGAAAGUCACCCCCAUCUACCCUGGUGCUAAAGGAUCCUCCCUACUUCAGCGUGAGACCUGGAGCUGAAUACCGGCAGGACGCUGGAAAACAACUGCUCAUUCCUUGUGCUGCUUCUGGGGAGCCAGAGCCUCCAACCAUUACCUGGAGAAAGGUAGGAAAGCCUAGCCGAAGCAAACACAUCGUCCUUCCAAGCGGCAGCCUGCAGAUCCCCUCCCUCAGCAAAGACGACCAUGGGGAGUGGGAGUGUGUGGCCACAAAUGUCGUCACCAGCAUUACUGCCAGCACCCGCCUCCUGGUGGUCGGCACAAGCCCACAUGCUCCAGUCAACCUCCGUGUAUCGGCCUCCUCGACCUCGGCCAAUGUCUCAUGGGAUCCGGGAUAUGAUGGUGGAUUUGAGCAGACAUUCUCAGUCUGGUACGGCCCUGUGGUGAAGAAGGCACGGUUGGGGCCCCACGACUGGCUGUCCAUGCCAGCCGGCUCUCAAACCUGGCUGCUGCUUCAGGGUCUGGAGUCCCAGACCCCCUACCAGUUCAGCGUAUUGGCCCAAAAUAAGUUGGGCACAGGGCCCUUCAGCGAGGUUGUCUCCAUCAGCACUCUUGCCUACCCCAGGAGUACCCCAGAACCAGCGGUGCUGCUUACCCCACCGAGGUGCCUCACAGCCAACCGGACACAGCAGGGUGUCCUCCUGUCAUGGCUCCCUCCAGCCAAUCACACAUCAGAGAUUGACCGUUACAUCAUAGAGCUCCGCGUUGGGGAGCGGUGGGACAUCCUGGAUGAUGCAAUCCCCCCUGGAGUGACAGAGCUUUUGGCAAAAGACCUUAUUCAGGAGUCGUGGUACGAAUUCCGAGUCACAGCCGUCAUGGACGACCUCAUCAGUGAAAGCAGUAAUGUAGUGGGAGUUUCAAGUACAGAUAUAGUCUUUCCUCCAGAGGUAGCAGAAGAGGGGGUUGCUCGUCCACUAGUGGCAGGUGUAGUGGCCACUAUCUGCUUCCUGACCACAGCCGUCCUCUUUAGCACUCUGGCGGCCUUCUUUGUCAAUAAGCAGCGGCGCCGAAAGCUGAAGCGGAAACCAGAUCCCCCUCUGUCUGUGACACACUGCAGGAAAAGUGUAGAGACUCCGACGGCACAGACUGAGAAUCAGUGGUUGAAAAGCGACGCAUUAACGCAGUACAGCUCUUCCUCCGGGAAGGAGAGUCCUGAGAGCACGCGAUCCCUCGGCGCCCCCUCCGAGUCAUCUGAAGAUGGGGCUGCCCCCCAUGUGGAGCGGGAGCUGUCCCUCUACAGGAAGACCAAGCGGGCUAUGGCCGGGAGGAAGCCCAGUGUCUCCAAGCAGGAAUCGGAGGCUACUCCGCCCAUUGAGCUGAUUAGCCGUGGCCCUGAUGGACGUUUUAUUAUGGAACCUCCUGUCCAGCAAGGCCGCAUUCAGGGCUUUCCCUUUGUCGAGGAGUCAGAUCUGUAUCCCGAGUUCUGCCAGUCUGAUGAGGAGAACGAGGACCUAUGUGUCAUGCCCCCUGUAAUGGCUAUUAUCAGACCCCAGAUCUCCCCUGUGUCGUCUAACCAGGAGUCUUAUCUACAGCCUCCUCCUUGCAGCCCCUGUCUCCACAGCCCCAUGGCAGAACUGACCGUCAUGGACAGCCCUGGGCAGAUCGAUCCUGGUCCACGCGCCACAGCCACGCCCCAGGGCUCGUUCUACAGCUUUGCUAGUGGCCCUAGUGGGCUUCUGUCUCCCUUUUACAUGCCUGAGGGCAGUCCAAACAGCUCAGUGAUGUCCUCACCCCCAUUAUUGCACAGAGAUUUUUUUAUUCAGCCUGCUGUUCCAGAGGAAGAUUUGGAGGGUGACGUCCAGCACUUUGGCACCUCUUGCAGUCCCUUGAUCUCAUGUACCAGCUUUGAAGGACCUCAGUUUGUUUUCCCACCUCAGCAUCCUUUUCAUCUUCACCAGGAUGCCCCAGACCAUGCCCCAUCACUCCCCCACAUUCUUCCACAAAGGAGUCUCCAGCCAUCCUUCCUCCAGGUGCCUUCGUUCCCUGGGUCUGUGAUGCUGGCGCCUCCACUGGGUCCUCCUGCACCAUCCUCCAGCAUGGUUCCGCUCCAGGGUCCCCUGCCUCCCUGCUCAGCCAUUCAGGAUCCCCAGGGUCCGGGGCAGCUAAGACAUACCAGUCAAGGAAUGGGUGUGUUGGUUCUGCCUUAUCCUCCCCCACUGCUGUCUGGGCCGGAUUCUGGCUGGUGGUUUGAACCUCAGCCCCAGCUCAGCCCUAGGGAAACGCGCCACGUGGAUGUUAGUUUGGGUCAGGUAGUCCUUCAGCCUUCACGGCUGUCCCCGUUGACACAGAGCCCCCCCGAAUCUCUCGGGAGCUCACAAGAGAGUAUAGUAAGGCCCCGGCCUCGACCAGGUGUGACCCACGCCUCUGUACGUUCAGAACUGGGAGCUGUUACCCUAUUGCCUCCUCGGGGGGGCUCUCCCACACCUCAGCAGGCCAGUUCAGCAUACCAUGCCCUUAUGGCCUUGGCCACCACUGCAUCAAGCUACCCGCCCGAGUCCCCACCACCCUCGAAGGAAGGCAGUGAUGGUUUUGGACAGAUUUCAACCCAUAGAAGUACCGAUGAAGAAGUGCCACCAUCUGAACCGUCUCUGCAUCAGUUCUCAGCUUCAGGCCACAGCGGAAGGACAACAGACAUCUAGGGCCACUAUUUAAUUCCCGCCGAGACUCAGCUCAUGGGGCUCAACUUACGUGCCCCACGCAGCGUUUUCACAUGCACACCGGAAGCCUGCAGAUUCAAUUUAAUAAAUGGCAAAAACAUACUCAUUAAAAAAAAUCACUCAUUUUCUGUCAGCACUUGCAAGUAUUGUUUUUUUUUUUUUUCAAUGACAUAAAAUGGACUGAAAACAUGACACAACCGGGGCUUUCCUUCUGAGGUGUUCUCUUCUCAGACCCAGCAGCGUUAUGCCUCUCAGGUACUCCACUGCAAAAAACUCUCUACCUCUGCAAAAUGAAGAGAUGGUGAGCAAGGGAGGCAUGGUACAUCUGCUUCUCCACAGCUCUGGGACAACAAAAGGAGACUUACCAGUGGAGAGUAUAGCUGACCCUGACUAUGGCGCUGUCCAGUCGAACCAACCCAUCAACAUGGUGCCAUCCUCUCAAAACACCCAUUCAAGAUAGCCGCUUGCACCGCGGUAAACCCAACAGCAUUGUUCCCCUUCAGGAGCACUAACCUACCAACACGGUGCCCUGCACCUGGACAACCCCACCAACAUGUGGCAUUUCACCAGGACUAACCCACCACCACUGUACCCUCAGCUGGCACCACACCGCCAACAAGGCACCUUCCACCUUGGCCAGCGGACAAACAUUGAUCGCUCCUUCCUGAAACACCAGCCUGACCCAUAAAAGGGGAAGUCAAAGCACAACAAAUACACCGUGCAUCUCUUUCAACAACAGGGCUCUUUCUUUGUUCCGAAAGAAAACGAGAGAUUAAGUUACACUAGUUUUAUUUGUGUAUAAGCUUAAAAAUAGAACUUCAUUCCCUACUACUUGCCAAACUAUUGGAUUUUUAUUGUUUAUUUCACAUUUUCCUGUUGAAAAUGUUCCAAUCCGAGCAAAGCACUGGAGCAGAUCUUGGAUUUUCAGUGCACGUAUCAUAAAGCAUCAGUGAAGUAUAACUGGUUCCUAGCUGUCUCACUCAAGUUUAAUUUAGAGACCUUAGAACCUGCUAUGUUCUGUACGGUGGUACUAAUUCUGGGCUGUUGCUCACGAGUAAAACAGCACAUAUGUUGAAGGGUGAGAAGGUGCUGCAUCGGGAGUACAGUACACUGUGAUAUCCAUCCAUGCUGGAGAACCUUUGGAGGGUGUGUGGGGGGGCUAAUAUUUACAAGAUCAAACAGAUUGAAAGCUUGCUGCAUGCUUAUCUUUAUUUUCUCUUUGUGUGGAAAACUAAAGGAACUGUUUGUAUACAAUCCUAUAAGGGGAUGACAAUACUCUGGAUUCUAUCACUAUAGCGGUCAUAGAAUACAAAGUUUCAUGUAUUCACAUACAGCUCAGCUGAACAAAUGUACAUGAAAGAGUUCAGUUUCACUCAGAAAAGGCAAAAAUAAGCUUUACCAGAUAUGCUGGUAUUGAUAUUUUCAACUAAAACAAAAGGAUCUUACUUCAUCAGAAGGGGCCAGCGCUUCAGUGUAAUACUGGAUGAGGGAAGAUUGCAUCACUGAGUUCAACAGGGUGUAGAAUCCUGUCUUGGGUGUAGCCCCUCCUCCACCUGCGAGGUGAAACUCACCUGUUUGUGUAGACUGAUGGGUGUUGAUAUUGGUGCAGGUGGCACUUUUACAUGUAAAAUGUGUGAUCUGUGGAUUAUAACUUGGUGCUAUGUCUUUGUAAGAUCCUGACCCCAGACCCAGAAUUUAAAGACAUUGAGAAAACUCACAAGAUCCUAAUGAUGAUAAAAGAAAAUGAAAAUGACAUUAUGCUCUUCCAAGUCUAAUUCUCACUGUUUAAAUAACAACACUUCUCAAAUGCUGAAAUGACAACAGUAAUAUCUUUUGAAAGCUUUUGUAUAUUAUCUUUUGAAAAAUUUUGUUUACACACAAAUAGCAUCAAGUCACCCCAAUCUGGUGGCCAUAUGUCAUGCAGUUUUGCACAACAUGUAAAAGUCAUUG